GUUUACCUUAGGUAGUUCUUCCCAUUUACACAUCACUUUUGAUCUUGAAAAAAAUUCUUAAAAUGCCUUGAAAUAAAAGCUCUCUUUUCUGGAUGUUUCCAUUCUCUGUACAUUAAGUUAAUCAGUUUAUUCUGAAAAGGAAAACCUUUUUCCUUAGAUUUUUUAGAUAGAUCUUCAGUCAAAAUCAAUAAUACCUCCUUCAUAAAAUUUCUCAGCUCGUCUGGUGGGAAACCCAUCUCCACACUUGAUGACGAAUCAGAAGUUUCUGAGAAAACUGAGGCUGAGCAUUCUCCCGAGGAUAUUUUCAAUGUUCUCCUUUUAUGUUUCUUACUAGUUGUAACAUGAGCAGCUACCGGAAUACUUGAUCUGACUGUUUUCUUAAAAGACUCAAAAGUUUGAGCAAAAUUAUCAUCAAAAAAGACUGCAUGUCUUUCUGCUUGGAUUUUUCCAGACUCUCAGCCAAACAUAAAUUACAUCUUUUAUCCAUUCGGUAGAGGAGUAGAGUAUUUACUGCAGCAUAAAAGUUAGCAGUAACUUUUGUGGGUGCAGGUGCAAGAUUCAUGUCUUUUUACAUUUUAUCAGGUGAAAGAGGAAUAGAC